ACGCAGGUGCACACCCGGCUCGGGAGGGAGGGCAGUGUGGACACACCGCUAGCCGCAGUGUUUCCGGACUCAGACGCGCUGACCCCGGACUGAGCCGCACUUUUGCACAUAGCUGCCCCGGACAUACCCGCACCCCAUCUCUGGCCCGCCUGCAGCCUGGACCCCGGCCUCGUCAUGGACCCCGAGUGCGCCCAGCUCCUCCCCGCUCUCUGUGCGGCCCUGGCAGACCCCAGGCAGCCUGUGGCAGAUGACACCUGCUUGGAGAAGUUGCUGGACUGGUUUAAAACCCUAACUGAAGCAGGGUCCAGCCUGCAGCUGCUGCAGGACAGCCCCUGCCUGGUGGAGC